CGUGAGACAGUUCGGUCCCUAUCCGUCGCGGGCGCAGGAAAUUUGAGAGGAGCUGUCCUUAGUACGAGAGGACCGGGAUGGACACACCGCUGGUGUACCAGUUGUUCCGCCAGGAGCAUCGCUGGGUAGCUAUGUGUGGCAGGGAUAAACGCUGAAAGCAUCUAAGCGUGAAGCCCCCCUCAAGAUGAGAUUUCCCAUUUCUUCGGAAAGUAAGAUCCCUGAAAGAUGAUCAGGUAGAUAGGUUUGGAGUGGAAGUGUAGCGAUACAUGGAGCGGACAAAUACUAAUCGAUCGAGGACUUAACCAA
rnacentral:rRNA from 1 species